rnacentral:sRNA from 1 species
AGGGAUUGCCCUAGUAACGGCGAGUGAAGCGGCAACAGCUCAAAUUUGAAAUCUGGCUCUCGGGCCCGAGUUGUAAUUUGUAGAGGAUGUUUCUGGCGACGUGUCUUCCGAGUUCCCUGGAACGGGACGCCAUAGAGGGUGAGAGCCCCGUCCGGUCGUACGCCUAGCCUCUGUGAAACUCCUUCGACGAGUCGAGUAGUUUGGGAAUGCUGCUCAAAAUGGGAGGUAUACGUCUUCUAAAGCUAAAUACCGGCCAGAGACCGAUAGCGCACAAGUAGAGUGAUCGAAAGAUGAAAAGCACUUUGAAAAGAGGGUUAAAUAGUACGUGAAAUUGCUGAAAGGGAAGCGCUCAUGACCAGACUUGGGCUCGGUGAAUCAUCCGGCGUUCUCGCCGGUGCACUUUGCCGGCCCAGGCCAGCAUCAGCUCGCCUCGGGGGAUAAAGGCUUCGGGAAUGUAGCUCCCUCGUGGAGUGUUAUAGACCGUUGCGUAAUACCCUGGGGCGGGCUGAGGUACGCGUUCUGCAAGGAUGCUGGCGUAAUGGUGCUCCAUG